rnacentral:lncRNA from 1 species
CAAUAGUAUAGAAACUGCAAUUAUUAACGAUUCUUUACAUAUAUAUUACGAAGUCAAAUAUUCACAAAAAGUACAGUAAAACCCGGAGUCGCAACUGUUGAGAAUUCGACAUAACUUAUAUAAUUAUAGAGAUUUCUAUAAUUACUUGUUAAUAAGAUUGUUUAUUUAAUACAUGUGUAUAUAGAACUUGACCAGAGUACUC